rnacentral:tRNA from 1 species
GGGGUUGUGGCUCAGUGGUAGAGCACUCACCUAGCAUGUGCGAGGCCCUGGGUUCAAUCCUCAGUAUCACAC